rnacentral:rRNA from 1 species
CGGGGUAGGAGGUAACGCGUAGGGAACCUGCCUCGAAACGAGGGGGGACAGUUGGAAACGACUGCUAAUACCGCAUAAGCCCACGGCCUGGCAUCGAGCAGAGGGAAAAGGAGCAAUCCGCUUUGAGAUGGCCUCGCGUCCGAUUAGCUAGUUGGUGAGGUGACGGCCCACCAAGGCGACGAUCGGUAGCCGGACUGAGAGGUUGAACGGCCACAUUGGGACUGAGACACGGCCCAG